rnacentral:rRNA from 1 species
UGGGUAACCUGCCUCAAAGAGGGGAAUAGCCUCCCGAAAGGGAGAUUAAUACCGCAUAAUAUGUUUAGGUCGCAUGACUUUAACAUCAAAGGAUUUUCUUUUAGAAAUUCCACUUUGAGAUGGACCCCGCGGCGCAUUAGCUAGUUGGUGAGGUAACGGCUCACCAAGGCAACGAUGCGUAGCCGACCUGAGAGGGUGAUCGGCCACAUUGGAACUGAGACACGGUCCAGACUCCGUAGGAGG